ACCGUCAAUAAAAAUUAGUACAGAAGGGAUGUUUUUUCUUCUUUUAUUUGAAUUUGUCUUCAAAGAAAUAAGAAUGACUUACAUGGAGCGUGCCUGGAUGUCUGUGCUAAUUUCCUGACAAAGUUUGUAUGUAAAUUCUUUUAUUUGCACUUAACUGGACUAGCAGAAGGUAUAGAACCACUCAGAAUUCGGACCCGGUGACAAAAGAAUGUAUAAGAUAGUAGUACAUAUUCAAAAUACAAUAGUUCCUACAGAUAGGUG
rnacentral:lncRNA from 1 species